GUGCUCGCUAUGGCAGCACAUAUACUAAAAUUGGAUCGAUACAGAGAAGAUUAGCAUGGCCCCUGCGAAAGGAUGACA
rnacentral:snRNA from 1 species